UGCAGGAAAAGUAUAACACGCACGCUUACGGUACACUCCGUCUUUGGAUGCGUCCUUCUUGAUAAGCGGUUUUCCAGAAUCCCGGCUUCAAAAAUGACCAACAGGAUUCAUCUUGAAUCCUUUAGGUACAAACAUAAAGAAAUCAGAAAAUUAAGACAUUCAGAUGAAAUAUACAUUUACUACUUUGCGAAGCCCAACGUUGUGUCUUCAAGAAAUUUCAGAAUAUGACCCUGUGGUCUAAGAAGGAUUUUUCGUCGUUGUAAUAGAAUGUAGUGAUGUUUGCACUAAAAUUUCCUACUUUCAUUCCUUAUUACAAUCCACCUAAUUAAAUUCAAAUUCUGCGUAUUGUAUCUACAUUAUAUAGAACACUCUAGAAAUAUGAAUUAUGUAAGUAUAGAAAGGCAAACUUUAUUGCACAGCACCUGCAAGAAUUUAAAGGACACUGAAGCUUCAAAUUGACUUUCAGUGGUUAAUGGAUAUAUCAUUAACGUCCUUUAAUUUAUAAAUAAACAUAAGUUGCUCUAACUGCUAAGUUACCUAUAUAAUGCAUACAAUGUGAAUUUUACUAUAUAGCAAUAUCUUUUUAAAAACGCACGUAAGGGAAAUAAAAACGCAAAGAAGUGUAAGCUUUCGCGUUCCAUGAUAAAGGAGAAAUAGCACGUGUGCCAAGAAAAUAAAUCCCAUAACAGUCAAAGUUAA